AUUGAACGCUGGCGGCAGGCCUAACACAUGCAAGUCGAGCGGAUGAAGGGAGCUUGCUCCUGGAUUCAGCGGCGGACGGGUGAGUAAUGCCUAGGAAUCUGCCUGGUAGUGGGGGAUAACGUCCGGAAACGGGCGCUAAUACCGCAUACGUCCUGAGGGAGAAAGUGGGGGAUCUUCGGACCUCACGCUAUCAGAUGAGCCUAGGUCGGAUUAGCUAGUUGGUGGGGUAAAGGCCUACCAAGGCGACGAUCCGUAACUGGUCUGAGAGGAUGAUCAGUCAAAAUGGAAAUGAGACACGGUCCAGACUCCUACGGGAGGCAGCAGGGGGGAAUAUUGGACAAUGGGGGAAAGCCUGAUCCAGCCAUGCCGCGGGUGUGAAGAAGGUUUUCGGAUUGGAAAGCACUUUAAGUUGGGAGGAAGGGCAGUAAGUUAAUACCUUGCUGUUUUGACGUUACCAACAGAAUAAGCACCGGCUAACUUCGUG
rnacentral:rRNA from 1 species